AAAAAAGUUCUUUAUAAUAUUCAAGUUUAACAAAACAGAUAGUUAAUGCCUUGCAAGUUAUGAACUGUUUUGUUUGUCAUAUUAUUUUAUUUCAAUGGAAUAUUAUUAUUUGUGAUCAAUACACUUUUUCUGUAUCUUUUAUUAUACCAUGUAAUUUUCAUGCAUUUUUGGUUUUCAAAUUAAGGAAAUAAAUUUUGAGAAUUUUUUGUCUCUUUAGAUGUAUUUAACUAUGAUUUUCAAUAUACAUGUAAGAAAAAAGAAGUAUUCAUUCAAACAUACUUUUGAAUGUUACAUAACAUUUGCUUAUCCAUGUAUUUACUUCACAAUUAUUUAAAUGAAAUAAAUUUUAUAAUG
rnacentral:misc_RNA from 1 species